UCAUAAGACUUAAAAAAGUGAAAAAAAGUUUUAUAAAAAGAUGCACCUAUGGAGUUUCGCUGGAAUAUCUUUGUUGAUCGUUUUAUCGAAUUCAGAGUUAGUUACAUUAAAUAACGAUGAUAACAGUAACAGUUCUAUACAAUCGUGCUACAGAAACUAUUUUACUAUGGCACAAGAAAACUGCUUUUUUACGUCGAAUGUCAACCUUGGAUCAAACUCCGGCUCCAACACGUGUAUCACUCCACCAUGCAGUACGGCUAGAUUAGCCUCUGAAGAUGAAUGCAAUAAAUACAUUUCAUUUUUUAAAACCAUUUUAGGGGUUAGUUUUUGUGACGGGUAUUUACAAAUGGUAAACAAUAUGGAUACAGACAUAAGUUAUUCGAUAUGCUGUGAAUAAGUAUAACAGGUCAUAAAAAAAUAAAUAUCAGAAAAAAAAAUUUA